rnacentral:misc_RNA from 1 species
CCAAUAGCGUAUAUUAAAGUUGUUGCAGUUAAAAAGCUCGUAGUUGAAUUUCGGGGUUCUUCCGUUGGUCAGGCUAACAAGUCUGUACUAGCGUGUAGAAUCUCUACCUUCUGGGGAACCAUCAUGUUAUUAAUUUAGCGUGGUGGGAAACCAGGACCUUUACCUUGAAAAAAUUAGAGUGUUCAAAGCAGGCUUACGUCUGAAUACAUUAGCAUGGAAUAAUAAAAUAGGACGGUGGUCCUGUUUUGUUGGUUUCUGAAUCACCGUAAUGAUUAAUAGGGAUAGUUGGGGGCAUUAGUAUUAAAUUGUCAGAGGUGAAAUUCUUGGAUUUAUUGAAGACUAACUUCUGCGAAAGCAUUUGCCAAGGAUGUUUUCAUUAAUCAAGAACGAAAGUUAGGGGAUCGAAGACGAUCAGAUACCGUCGUAGUCUUAACCAUAAACUAUGCCGACUAGGGAUCGGACGAUGUUAAAUUUUAUUGACUCGUUCGGCGCCUUACG